CCUACGGGUGGCAGCAGUGAGGAAUAUUGGUCAAUGGGCGAGAGCCUGAACCAGCCAAGUCGCGUGAAGGAUGAUGGCCCUACGGGUUGUAAACUUCUUUUGUCAGGGAGCAAUUUGGUCCACGCGUGGGCUUAUCGAUAGUACCUGUAGAAAAAGCAUCGGCUAACGCGGUGCCAGCAGCCGCGGUAAUACGGAGGAUGCGAGCGUUAUCCGGAUUUAUUGGGUUUAAAGGGUGGGUAGGCGGAAUAUCAAGUCGGCGGUAAAAAUUCGGGGCUCAACCCCGUCGUGCCGUUGAAACUGAUGGUCUUGAGUGGGCGAGAAGUAGGCGGAAUGCGUGGUGUAGCGGUGAAAUGCAUAGAUAUCACGAAGAACUCCGAUUGCGAAGGCAGCAUACCGGAGCCCAACUGACGCUGAAGCACGAAAGCGUGGGUAUCGAACAGGAUUAGAUACCCCAGUAGUC
rnacentral:rRNA from 1 species